rnacentral:rRNA from 1 species
UUUUGCGCAAUGGGGGAAACCCUGACGCAGCAACGCCAUGUGUGGGAUGAAGCAUUUCGGUGUGUAAACCACUGUCAGCAGGGAAUAAACGACAGCUUCGGGCUGUUUUGAAUGUACCUGCAAAGGAAGCCCCGGCUAACUUCGUGCCAGCAGCCGCGGUAAUACGAGGGGGGCAAAUGUUGUUCGGAAUUACUGGGCGUAAAGGGAGCGUAGGCGGGUUUCUAAGUAAGGUGUUUAAUCCCGGGGCCCAACCCCGGACAGGCACUUUAAACUGGAAGUCUUGAAUAGUGGAGAGGUCAGUGGAAUUGGGGGUGUAGCGGUGGAAUGCGUAGAGAUCCCCAAGAACACCAGUUGCGAAGGCGGCUGACUGGACACAUAUUGACGCUGAGGCUCGAAAGCAUGGGGAGCAAACAGG